CCGCCUGUGCCGGCGGCCGCGGGAGGGGGCUGCGGCCCCGCCGUGCUCGGAGCGGCGCCCCGUGCCCGCGCCCCGUCCCUCCGCUCUCAGCCCCGGGUCAGGCCGCAGGUGGCCCGGGGGGUGCGAGGAGCGGCGGUCGGGAAGCAGAGCAGAGCCCUGGGUCUCCCCGCGGAUCUCCCCGUCCCCGGUGCUGGCGGGCGAGCGCCGCGCCGGGACCUGUUGCGGGCCGUGAUGGUUCGGCCGUGGCGGGGCUGUUCGCGGUGUUCCAGCCCGGGCGCUCAGCGCGCUGCUGCUCCAGCUGCUCGCUUGCUCCGUACAGCCCUUCCUGGGGCUGGAUUGAGAAACGGAGAAACCGAGGGGGAUUGAUUUUCUGCCGCCUUUUGAGGCGGUGGAAGGGUUAAGUCAGUCGGUCACCUGCACCGGGUGUGUUGGUGCUCUUUGGCUUCUUGCCCGACCCUUCCCGGGAGCUGGGGUUGCGUCAGCGCGGGCAGCACCGCGGUGCUCGGCGGUCUCGCCCUGCUGCCGUUCUCCUCGGUGCACCGUGCUGGGGUCACUUCUGCGUUUCCCACGGCAUGUUAAUUUUUCCCCCCUCUAUAGUCUCCAGGAUCCCUCCUCGUGUAUGUUAACUGUGUUCCUUUGAGGAUUUUUUGCCGUUGUCAUCUCAUCUCCUUCAGCCAGGGUGUUGGUAAGAGCCAAAUAGUUUCCAGAGGCAUUGUUGCCUCAAGCACUCUUAGGAGCUCUGCGCUUCAGACUUCUGAAUGUGAUGCCCAGUUCCUUGUGCAUCACUUGCCUCUGCCCUAAACCAAGCACCUGAAGCCAGUCUCACACCCCUGCCACAUGGCAGGAAGCUCUGGCACUAAAGCCUUUGGUGCUGGGGGUAUUUUCCUUCCUGCUCGGUAUCCAAACAUUGCUGCAAAACAGCCCUUCGUGCGUUACACAGUGAGGCCACAGAGCUUAGAGUAAGUGGUGCUGGCCGAGUGCCACGCCACACUGCCAAAGUGCCCAUGGGCUCCACUCUCUGUGUUGAAAUUUGGAUCUGCUUCAGGAAGCUCCAGAGCUGGGAGAUCCCUACUCCAAAGAAGGGAUUCACAGAGCCACCAGAGCCCCAGCUCACUUUGCACCCAUGUUGGCAAAAGGUGGGUCAUGUCAGCUAAAGCCCCGUUCAUUUUAUGUGUAAGCAACAGGUUUUUGAAGUUUUCUUGAAAAAUGGAAGAUGAGUGGCUUAUUGCUCCUUUGCUAAUCUCGUCAGAUGUUUAAGAACUUUUGAGUGGAGACAAUGAAAACUUUAGGCCUAUCUAUGAGACAGAUUUUUAAGAUCUCUUUAGACACCUAAAGAUGUGGGUUCCUAAACACCUUCACAAAUGUGGAUUCAUGUGACUGACACAGAGCUGCCUCAUAAACUUUUGAUGCCCUGAAGCUUCUAGCCAAGACUUGCAGGUCUCCUGGUCUGAUUCACAAGUGCCUGAUGCAAUGCUCAACUUGAUGCUCCUGUAAGAUAAUACAUCUCCAUUUGCAGAUCUGCUUGACAGCACAGCUUGAGGACCAUAUGGCCAUGACUCCAACUGCCCACCAUUUUUUCAAUAUUACCCCCAAGACUCUUUCAUUUCCUUUGUAAGACAGGAUUAUUAGAAUACUCUGUUUUGCUCCAAAUAAUAAUUAAAAAAACCCCAAUCUGUUUUGCCCAUUUCUGUUCUUCAUUUGAGGGAAAUGCAGCCUUGGAGAGACAGCCCUGAAGUUUCUUCACCCAUAGCACUAGAUUCUCUGGACUGAGAAAUCUUUAGGUGGAGGAUAACAACUUCCCCCUAAUUUUGCUUUACUACAGCUUGUAUUUUUGAAGAAAUGAAUGUCAGUGUUGUAAUAAAAGUGCAAUCACAAUGCUAAA